AUUGAACGCUGGCGGCAGGCCUAACACAUGCAAGUCGAACGAGUGGCGGACGGGUGAGUAAUGUCUGGGCAACUGCCUGAUGGAGGGGGAUAACUACUGGAAACGGUAGCCAAUACCGCAUACCAUCGGAUGUGCCCAGAUGGGAUUAGCUAGUAGGUGGGGGAAAGGCUCACCUAGGCGACGAUCCCGAGCUGGUCUGAGAGGAUGACCAGCCACACUGGAACUGAGACACGGGCCAGACGCCUACGGGAGGCAGCAGUGGGGAAUAUUGGACAAUGGGCGAAAGCCUGAUGCAGCCAUGCCGCGUGUAUGAAGAAGGCCUUCGGGUUGUAAAGUACUUUCAGCAGGGAGGCGUUACCCGCCGAAGAAGCCCCGGCUAAUUACGUGCCAGCAGCCGCGGUAAUAC
rnacentral:rRNA from 1 species